rnacentral:rRNA from 1 species
UACAGAGGUCUCAGGCGUUGUUCGGAUUCAUUGGGCGUAAAGGGUGCGUAGGCGGCGCGGUAAGUCGGGUGUGAAAUCUCGGAGCUUAACUCCGAAACUGCAUUCGAUACUGCCGUGCUUGAGGACUGGAGAGGAGACUGGAAUUUACGGUGUAGCGGUGAAAUGCGUAGAUAUCGUAAGGAAGACCAGUGGCGAAGGCGGGUCUCUGGACAGUUCCUGACGCCGAGGCACGAAGGUCAGGGGAGCAAACGGG